rnacentral:rRNA from 1 species
AUACGUAGGGGGCGAGCGUUGUCUGGAAUGAUUGGGCGUAAAGGGCGCGUAGGCGGCGCGGUAAGUCUGGAGUGAAAGUCCUGCUUUCAAGGUGGGAAUUGCUUUGGAUACUGCCGCGCUUGAGUGCAGGAGAGGUUAUCGGAAUUCCCGGUGUAGCGGUGAAAUGCGUAGAGAUCGGGAGGAACACCAGUGGCGAAGGCGGGUAACUGGACUGCGACUGACGCUGAGGCGCGAAAGAGUUGGGAGCAAACAGGAUUAGAUACCCUGGUAGUCCACACUGUAAACGAUGAAUGCUAGGUGUAAGAGGUAUCGACCCCUUUUGUGCCUCAGUCAACACAAUAAGCAUUCCGCCUGGGGAGUACGGCCGCAAGGUUGAAACUCAAAGGAAUUGACGGGG